rnacentral:rRNA from 1 species
AGUGAACGCUGGCGGUAGGCUUAACACAUGCAAGUCGAACGGCAGCACAGUAAGAGCUUGCUCUUACGGGUGGCGAGUGGCGGACGGGUGAGGAAUACAUCGGACUCUACUUUUUCGUGGGGGAUAACGUAGGGGAACUUAAGCUAAUACCGCAUACGACCUACGGGUGAAAGCAGGGGAUCUUCGCACCUUGCGCGAUUGAAUGAGCCGAUGUCGGAUUAGUUAGUUGGCGGGGUAAAGGCCCACCAAGGCGACGAUCCGUAGCUGGUCUGAGAGGAUGAUCAGCCACACUGGAGCUGAGACACGGUCCAGACUCCGACGGGAGGCAGAAGUGGCGAAUAUUGGACAAUGGGCGCAAGCCUGAUCCAGCCAUACCGCGUGGGUGAAGAAGGCCUUCGGGUUGUAAAGCCCUUUUGUUGGGAAAGAAAAGCAGCAGGUUAAUACCCCGCUGUUCGGACGGUACCCAAAGAAGAAGCACCGGCUAACUCCGU